UAACAAACUUUUUGUGACCUAGGACAGAA
rnacentral:sRNA from 1 species